rnacentral:tRNA from 1 species
AAUCAUCUAUUAUAAUUAAUAUUUUUAAUUUAGGUUUAAAAGUUUUUUGAUUAGUU